rnacentral:rRNA from 1 species
GGGUAACCUGCCUGUAAGACUGGGAUAACUCCGGCAAACCGGGGCUAAUACCGGAUGCUUGAUUGAACCGCACGGUUCGAUUAUAGAGGUGGCUUUUAGCUACCACUUACUGAUGGACCCUUGGCCCAUUAGCUUCUUGGGGAGUUAACGGGUCACCUGGGCGACGAUGCGUAGCCGACCUGAAAGGGUGAUCGGCCAUUCUGGGCACUGACACACGUCCUCAGACUCCUACGGGAGGCAGCACUAGGGAAUCUUCCGCAAUGGACGAAAGUCUGACGGAGCAACGCCGCGUGAGUGAUGAAGGUUUUCGGAUCGUACAACUCUGUUGUUAGGGAAAAACAAGUACCGUUCGAAUAGGGGGGCACCUUGACGGUACCUAACCUCAAAGCCACGGCUAACUACGUGCCAACAGCCGCGGUAAUACGUAGGUGGUCAGCGUUGUCCGGAAUUAUUGGCCGUUGAGCGCGCGCCCGCGGAUUCCUAAGUCUGAUGGGAAAGCCCCCGGGUUCACCGGGGAGGGUCCUUGGAAACUGGGGAACUUGACUGCAGAAGAGGAAAACGGUAUUCCACGUGGCACGGCGAAAUGCGCAUAGAUAUGGAGGGGAUCCCAUGGCGAGAGCGACUCUCUGGGUUGUGACUCACACUCAGAUUCACAAACGAGAGGAGCGCUCACCACUAGAGAUCCUCCGCAUCCUCUACGCCAAACUACGACGACUCCCGAGUGAUUACAGGUUCUCCCCCUUUUUUGCUGCUGCUCCAAAUUUUAUGAAGCCCCCCCCGCGGG